CUGCCCUGUGACGACAAAGAGAAGGCCGGACCAACAGAGCGGGGAGCUACGUUGCGCUUGCGCGGCUUGGGCUAGCCCAGGCUUCGGCGCUUGCGCCGUAGGUGCGUCUUGGAUUCACUCGCACUAGCUCGCGUUCACUCACCUCGCCCAGCUGUUGUGUCGUCAUGGCGACGGCUGUUGUAGGUCUCAGGCUGUCUUCAUGCCAGAAUAAGACACAAAUUUAGGUCAUAUGGGGCCUCUAUAAAGUGAUCUCAGCAAAAUCAGGAAACCAUAGAUGAGAGACAUUCUGUAGGGAAGGAGGAGGGAGAAGGAUCAGGACAGGGGAGGAAAGAGCACAAGAGACUAUGGUGAUGGCGCACAGAUUUUUCCUGGGCUAGGAUGGCAUCUCGGUGCAGGACCCGCAGCACUUUCUCUGGCUCUGCAGACCCGUAAUGAGCCUCCAGAACCUCAGGCUUGGUUUUCUCUGUCUUCAGCAUGUGGAUCACAUCUUCUCUGGCCUGUGGUAGAAAGUGCAACAAGGAGGCAUAAGAAGGCCAAGAAAGUGAUGUUCCCCUCCCCAAGAACUGAAACUGUACCAGGUGCCACAAAGGGCUAUCUCAAUUGGCUGCAUAAGAAAUUGGCUCAAAACAUGUGGGGGGCAGCAAAGAGCCACUUUGCAAAACCCAGGACCAACAGGUGUGAACUGGUUGAAGUGGAGCAGCUGGAGCAGCUGGAUCUAAAAGCCUUUCUACAAACGGACUCAAUAAGUCAAAGGCUAAGACAGAUUCUCUUAUCCCUCUUGUUCUCAAUAGCCUGUGAUUGCCCAAACUACUCCUGGCAAUGUUUGCAAUUUCUUUUUUUUUUUAAGAUUUACUUAUUCAUGCAUACAAGAGCUGGGGUACAGGCCAGAGAUGUGGGGGGUGAGAGGAUUCACCAGAGACAGAGUGGGGAACACAACAGGCAGAUUGACCGAAAUACACUGCUGAGGGAGCAGCAGGUGAGUCAGGAUAGGUCUGCUGCACCAUGUGGGUUGCUCCCUGACUGACAGGGGAUCAAACUUAUGCUGCAGAGGCUUUGGAUUGUUUCAUAGUGCAGUGCUUAACACCCUGUGCCACCCGGGAGGCCCAAUAUUUGUGAUUUCUAUGCCACUGACCUACAAGACAACUGGCAACCCCAAAGCAGGGCAGAUGACUCACCCUGCAUUUCUGAGUCUUCUGCACUAUUUGUUAAUGUGAUUCAAAGGAACAGUUCACUCUCUAAUUCAAGAAUUUGGACUACACUGUUUACUCUAGAGUCUGUAUUCCUUCAUCAUCAUGUCAAAAGAUUAUAUUGCAGCCGAAAUGACUUACACUUUUUCUAAACUUUUCUUAGUAUUCUAUUUAUAAUCUGGCAUCAGUAAGAGGCAAUGUGAAAGUGCACCUUGUGCUGGUUCUAGUGCUGUAAGCAGGCAUUGGGCAUUGCUUAUAGAUGAGAGCACAACCAGAGGCAAGUCCUCCAACUUAAGAAAGAAAAUUACAAAAUAGAAAUAUAAAUUUUUAAAAUUGCAUCUUUGACAUUUAAUCAAAUUCGUAUGAGUUCCUAUUUGGAAUGUCCUUUUUUUUACAGAAAGGAGAUCCCCAAAGAAGCUAUAAACUUCUAUAUUAUUUGUCAUCUACUUCUCAUUGGCAAUAUCUAGCCAUCUAGUACCAUAUCUCAGGUUAAAAUGUAGCCAUUUUUACUUCUGCUCUUAAGAUUGUCUUGCUUUCAUGUGAAUGGAGCUACAAGGAAUUAUGCUCAGUGAAAAAAGCCAGAAGGAAAUAAAAAAAUAUCAGAUGGUUUCUCUUAGAGCAGGAAUAUAGGGGAACCAAAUAAGACAUCAGUGUAAAAAAUAAUAACAGUACAGAACACAGCAAAGCAAAAAUAGACAAUUACAAAUCUGAGACAUACUGCAGGGGAGGAGGAGG